rnacentral:rRNA from 1 species
UACGAAGGGGGCUAGCGUUAUCCGGAUUUAUUGGGUACGUAAAGAGCUCGUAUGGCGGCUGAUCGCGAUUCGGUUGUGUAAAGCUCAGGGCUCAACCCUGAGACGCCAAUCGAUACGGAUCGGCUAGAGGUUAGGUAGGGGAAAGUGGAAUUCCCGGUGUAGCGGUGAAAUGCGCAGAUAUCGGGAGGAACACCGGAUGCGAAGGCGGUUCAC